rnacentral:rRNA from 1 species
GACGAACGCUGGCGGCGUGCCUAAUACAUGCAAGUAGAACGCUGAAGAGAGGAGCUUGCUCUUCUUGGAUGAGUUGCGAACGGGUGAGUAACGCGUAGGUAACCUGCCUUGUAGCGGGGGAUAACUAUUGGAAACGUUAGCUAAUACCGCAUAACAAUGGAUGACACAUGUCAUUUAUUUGAAAGGGGCAAUUGCUCCACUACAAGAUGGACCUGCGUUGUAUUAGCUAGUAGGUGAGGUAAUGGCUCACCUAGGCGACGAUACAUAGCCGACCUGAGAGGGUGAUCGGCCACACUGGGACUGAGACACGGCCCAGACUCCUACGGGAGGCAGCAGUAGGGAAUCUUCGGCAAUGGGGGCAACCCUGACCGAGCAACGCCGCGUGAGUGAAGAAGGUUUUCGGAUCGUAAAGCUCUGUUGUAAGUCAAGAACGGGUGUGAGAGUGGAAAGUUCACACUGUGACGGUAGCUUACCAGAAAGGGACGGCUAACUACGUG